GACGAACGCUGGCGGCGUGCUUAACACAUGCAAGUCGAACGGUAAGGCCCUUCGGGGUACACGAGUGGCGAACGGGUGAGUAACCCGUGGGUGAUCUGCCCUGCACUUCGGGAUAAGCCUGGGAAACUGGGUCUAAUACCGGAUAGGACCACUGCCUGCAUGGGUGGUGGUGGAAAGCUUUUGCGGUGUGGGAUGGGCCCGCGGCCUAUCAGCUUGUUGGUGGGGUGAUGGCCUACCAAGGCGACGACGGGUAGCCGGCCUGAGAGGGUGACCGGCCACACUGGGACUGAGAUACGGCCAAGACUCCUACGGGAGGCAGCAGUGGGGAAUAUUGCACAAUGGGCGCAAGCCUGAUGCAGCGACGCCGCGUGAGGGAUGACGGCCUUCGGGUUGUAAACCUCUUUCAGCACCGACGAAGCGCAAGUGACGGUAGGUGCAGAAGAAGGACCGGCCAACUACGUGCCAGCCGCCGCCGUAA
rnacentral:rRNA from 1 species